UCCCAAUGAUGAAAUCCUUUUCCGUCUUACUGACUGUAUCGGCUCCAGAACCUGCAAAGGUUGAACCCACUGGGGCCAGCAGUUGGAGAAGAGGANGCCCUUGUUCCUGAGGAACGGUCUGAUGGGAC
rnacentral:snoRNA from 1 species